UACGUAGGGUGCAAGCGUUGUCCGGAAUUAUUGGGCGUAAAGAGCUCGUAGGCGGUUUGUCGCGUCUGCUGUGAAAACUGGAGGCUCAACCUCCAGCCUGCAGUGGGUACGGGCAGACUAGAGUGCGGUAGGGGAGAUUGGAAUUCCUGGUGUAGCGGUGGAAUGCGCAGAUAUCAGGAGGAACACCGAUGGCGAAGGCAGAUCUCUGGGCCGUAACUGACGCUGAGGAGCGAAAGCCAGGGGAGCAAACGGG
rnacentral:rRNA from 1 species